rnacentral:rRNA from 1 species
UACGGGGGGGGCAAGCGUUGUUCGGAAUUACUGGGCGUAAAGGGCUCGUAGGCGGCCAACUAAGUCAGACGUGAAAUCCCCAGGCUCAACCUGGGAACUGCGUCUGAUACUGGAUGGCUUGAGUUUGGGAGAGGGAUGCGGAAUUCCAGGUGUAGCGGUGAAAUGCGUAGAUAUCUGGAGGAACACCGGUGGCGAAGGCGGCAUCCUGGACCGGUAUUGACGCUGAGGCGCGAAAGCCAGGGGAGCAAACGGG